AUGGCGCAACAAAGUGGUUCUACCAGGCAGCCCUUCCUCCCAUAUGCAGGAAUCAUUCGAGAUCGUUGUCCAAUCGUAGGUCUGAGAUGGAAGAGGGUGAUGGAUUUCUUUUGCACCAGGGAUGAGCUCUUGCUGGCCAAGUGCAAGGAGAUAUACUCUUGGUUUCCUAGUGUGAAAUAUCUCGUGAUGCACUCGCUGGGCUUGACAUUGGAAGUAACAAGUGAUGAGCAGAAGCGGGUACUUCCUAAAGGCAAGGGGGCAGUCCCAAUUGAGAUUCUCAUGUGGGCAUUGGCAGAGGCGAUGGUGUCUCUGGAUCAUCGGCAACGAGCCCGUUGGUACAAGUACCGCUCUCGCCUCUCGUUGUCGAACCCAGAGGUGGAAAGGCCGGUGAAUUUGCAUAUUAUUCAGGUCAUCGACAAGGAGACGGAGGAGGACGAUAGCGACGAGGAGGAUGUAGAAGAGGAGAGCUAUUAG
rnacentral:rRNA from 1 species